rnacentral:rRNA from 1 species
ACGCUGGCGGCGUGCUUAACACAUGCAAGUCGAACGAAAAUACCAAGCUUGCUUGGUUGAUUAGUGGCGAACGGGUGAGUAACACGUGAGUAACCUGCCCCUUACUUUCCUGGAUAACUGCUCGAAAGGGUAGCUAAUACGGGAUAUUCUGACCUGCCUGCAUGGGUUGGUUUGGAAAGGUUGUUUUUCUGGUAAGGGAUGGGCUCGCGGCCUAUCAGCUUGUUGGUGGGGUGAUGGCCUACCAAGGCUUUGACGGGUAGCCGGCCUGAGAGGGUGGACGGUCACACUGGGACUGAGAUACGGCCCAGACUCCUACGGGAGGCAGCAGUGGGGAAUAUUGCACAAUGGGCGCAAGCCUGAUGCAGCGACGCCGCGUGAGGGAUGAAGGCCUUCGGGUUGUAAACCUCUUUCGUCAGGGAACAAGGCACUGCUUUGGUGGUGUUGAGGGUACCUGGAUAAGAAGCGCCGGCUAACUACGUGCCAGCAGCCGCGGUAAUACGUAGGGCGCAAGCGUUGUCCGGAAUUAUUGGGCGUAAAGAGCUCGUAGGCGGCUGGUCGCGUCUGUCGUGAAAACUUCCGGCUCAACCGGGGGCUUGCGGUGGGUACGGGCCGGCUAGAGUGCGGUAGGGGUAACUGGAACUCCUGGUGUAGCGGUGGAAUGCGCAGAUAUCAGGAAGAACACCGAUGGCGAAGGCAGGUUACUGGGCCGUUACUGACGCUGAGGAGCGAAAGCGUGGGGAGCGAACAGGAUUAGAUACCCUGGUAGUCCACGCUGUAAACGUUGGGCACUAGGUGUGAGGCUCCUUUCCGGGGGUUUUGCGCCGUAGCUAACGCAUUAAGUGCCCCGCCUGGGGAGUACGGCCGCAAGGCUAAAACUCAAAGGAAUUGACGGGGGCCCGCACAAGCGGCGGAGCAUGCGGAUUAAUUCGAUGCAAC